GACGAACGCUGGCGGCGUGCUUAACACAUGCAAGUCGAACGGAAAGGCCCUGCUUUUGUGGGGUGCUCGAGUGGCGAACGGGUGAGUAACACGUGAGUAACCUGCCCUUGACUUUGGGAUAACUUCAGGAAACUGGGGCUAAUACCGGAUAGGAGCUCCUGCUGCAUGGUGGGGGUUGGAAAGUUUCGGCGGUUGGGGAUGGACUCGCGGCUUAUCAGCUUGUUGGUGGGGUAGUGGCUUACCAAGCCUUUGACGGGUAGCCGGCCUGAGAGGGUGACCGGCCACAUUGGGACUGAGAUACGGCCCAGACUCCUACGGGAGGCAGCAGUGGGGAGUAUUGCGCAAUGGGCGGAAGCCUGAUGCAGCAACGCCGCGUGCGGGAUGACGGCCUUCGGGUUGUAAACCGCUUUCGCCUGUGACGAAGCGUGAGUGACGGUAAUGGGUAAAGAAGCACCGGCUAACUACGUG
rnacentral:rRNA from 1 species